AGACGACCAUCUGUUGGCGUCGACUUGCGAUGAACAGGAUACGGAUACACGUUUUGCCUUCGAGUCGGAACCGGGUGACCCAGACACCUCGUCCUCAGGAGCCCCUGGCCUGCUCCUUUACCCAGCGACCGUGCUCGCAGCCUCGCCUGGACGGCCUGGAGUACUGCAUCAAACACAUUUUGGAAGAUAAGAAUGCUCCAUACAAACAGUGCAGUUACGUCUCUGCCAAGAAUGGGAAGCGCUGCCCCAAUGCCGCACCAAAAGUCGAAAGAAAAGACGGAGUGACGUUCUGUGCAGAGCAUGCUCGCAGGAAUGCCAUGGCCCUCCGAGCUCAGAUGAGAAAGGCAUCUUCUGGUCCGUCCCCAGAGUCACUGUUGUCUCAGCUAAGUGGAUACAACCGCGCAGAGAUGCAAAGCAUUGACGGAGGACGCUCUGAAGCUAGCCGGAUUCUAGAUGAGGACAGUCUGAGUGAGGAGGAGCAGGGUCCCUUGGUACUAGACCAGACAUGGCGAGGAGACCCUGACAGUGAGGCAGACAGCGUUGACAGUGAUCAUGAGGAUCCUCUGAAGCAUGCAGGGGUGUACACAGCAGAGGAGGUGGCACUCAUCACUCGAGAAAAACUCAUCAGGCUCCAAUCCCUCUACAUUGACCAGUUCAAACGCCUGCAGCACCUGCUUAAGGAGAAAAAGCGCCGAUACCUGCACAACCGCAAAGUGGAGCACGAAACUCUAGGGAGCAGUCUGCUGACAGGGCCUGAAGGUCUGUCCAUGAAGGAGAGGGAGAACCUGAAGAAGCUCAAAGCUCUGCGCCGAUACCGUCGUCGGUACGGUGUGGAAGCCCUGCUGCACCGGCAGCUUCGGGAGAGGAGGCAGGCUGUGACAGACGGAGCUCCUCAGCCACACACAAGAACGGUGCAUGAGAAGUGCAUCUCCUUUGUGGAGGGAACUCGAUGUACCAACCCCUGCAUGCCUAUGACCAGGCACUGUGUCUCACACAUCUUCCAGGACGGCAAUCAGGUGCUUUUCAAAAUGUGUCCAGGCCUGAAAGAUGUCCCAUGUGAACGCACCGUGCAUAUGGGUCAGUCUGACGAUCCUCGCUGCCCGCUGCACCUCACCCUGCCGCCCCCCAUGUACCAGCCCGAGCAGGAACCUCCACCACAGGAGCAGAUCACCACUGCAAGCAGAGACAUGUAUCUGAGUGCGGCAGAGCUUCAGCCCACAGAGAGCCUUCCCCUAGAGUUCAGCGAUAUUUCAUCCUGUUAUACAGGACCUGGAUGUGGAAGGGGACGGUAUGCAGGGUCCUCCGUCCCCCCUACAGUUUGACACGGCCCUGGCCCUGGAGGACCAGACCAUCAGAGCCAUCGCUGAGGCCCCGAUGGACAUCCUGACUGGAGAAGACCCAGACCAGGUCGACCUGGAUGCCUCGGAACACGAGCUCUCGGAAAGAGAUGUGGAUGCCAUCAUGCAUGACCAGAUGGUGUCAGAGGUUGCAGGAGGUGAAGAAAAGGAUGCCACUGAUCAUUCACUCCAAGACAUUAACUCUGCUGCAAUUGAUGCUCCCAGAUGAAGAACUUCUGUAGCAUCAUCACAAAGAACAUGUUUCACUUCCACAAAGACUGAUGUUGAGGUCAGAAUAACCUUUACAGCCCAUUUGUCGUGGGUGUAUUUAUUUAGUUUUUUCUGGAUUAAAUUGCCUUAAAAUUGUACCUUAUUAGUUUGUCUGUUGAAUAAAAGGACACUCAUCUUUCAUCCACAAAUAAA